UGCAAGUCGAGCGAAUGGAUUGAGAGCUUGCUCUCAAGAAGUUAGCGGCGGACGGGUGAGUAACACGUGGGUAACCUGCCCAUAAGACUGGGAUAACUCCGGGAAACCGGGGCUAAUACCGGAUAACAUUUUGAACUGCAUGGUUCGAAAUUGAAAGGCGGCUUCGGCUGUCACUUAUGGAUGGACCCGCGUCGCAUUAGCUAGUUGGUGAGGUAACGGCUCACCAAGGCAACGAUGCGUAGCCGACCUGAGAGGGUGAUCGGCCACACUGGGACUGAGACACGGCCCAGACUCCUACGGGAGGCAGCAGUAGGGAAUCUUCCGCAAUGGACGAAAGUCUGACGGAGCAACGCCGCGUGAGUGAUGAAGGCUUUCGGGUCGUAAAACUCUGUUGUUAGGGAAGAACAAGUGCUAGUUGAAUAAGCUGGCACCUUGACGGUACCUAACCAGAAAGCCACGGCUAACUACGUGCCAGCAGCCGCGGUAAUACGUAGGUGGCAAGCGUUAUCCGGAAUUAUUGGGCGUAAAGCGCGCGCAGGUGGUUUCUUAAGUCUGAUGUGAAAGCCCACGGCUCAACCGUGGAGGGUCAUUGGAAACUGGGAGACUUGAGUGCAGAAGAGGAAAGUGGAAUUCCAUGGUGUAGCGGUGAAAUGCGUAGAGAUAUGGAGGAACACCAGUGGCGAAGGCGACUUUCUGGUCUGUAACUGACACUGAGGCGCGAAAGCGUGGGGAGCAAACAGGAUUAGAUACCCCUGGUAGUCCACGCCGUAAACGAUGAGUGCUAAGUGGUUAGAAGGGUUUCCGCCCUUUA
rnacentral:rRNA from 1 species